rnacentral:sRNA from 1 species
AAAACUUUUUGUAAAGACAUAUUUAUUGCAUCAUAAUCUUCAUUAAAAAAUAAUUAAAAAGAAGAUUAUGAUAUAUC